UUGAUUAUUUUAUCCUUUGCUUCCCUCAUUGUUUCAAUUACUAAUUCAACCAGUAGAACACCAAGCUCAGAAAUUCAACCAAAAUGCCAAGAGACACUGAAAGAAAUAGUCUUAUUUCACGACUUGAUCUAAAACAUCGUAACUGACCCCAACUUAUUUGGGACUGAGGCGUAGUUAUUGUUGUAUCUAAAACUCGUCGACUACUGUACGAUCAAAGUAGCAACCAGUAGGUCCUCCAUCAGGCAAAAGAGCUAGCAUGACAGAUCCUUCAGCUCCUUCUUCGACAGGCAUUGUUCCUGUAUGCCAGUUUAUAUCCGUGUUGACGUAUCCAGGAUGGACACAAUUGAUACACAUUUUCGGGUACUUUCUUGCAAGAAUUCGAGUGUAAGCAUUGAGUGAGACUUUUGAUAUGCUAUAUGCUGGUAGCAUCAUCUGCCAACCAUUCACCUCGAGGGCAUCUUGUUUCAGAUCAUGCAAAAAAAUUUGCAGAAUCUUGUCGAUUUUAUCUUCUGUCAGGUUUUCAACAUCUCCUAGCUCCUUUCUCCUCUCCUCAUUUGGUACUCGCUGCAUUAGAAUGAUACAAAAUCAAUAAGAAAUCCUUCUAAUAUGUCAGAGUUACCCAGUACUUGUACGUUAGUAGGAGAGUACUUGUACGUUAGUAGGAGAUAGCAGGUAUCUCAUGGAAUUAGUCCGGAUGCAAACAAGUUGGUCCGGACAUCAUGGUUAUCAAAAAAGUAUUUGUAUGAUUUAGUUUUCGGACUGAAAAUGACUCGAGAAUUAUAAAGUUCUUGUCCUUUGGAAGUUACAAUACAAUCCCUUGAAUUAUAACAAGCUACCAUUAAGAGAAAAUCUAGCUUAUUUUCUUUCUUCUUUUUAGAUAACGACGGUGUCCAAACAACCUUCUACCUUAAAUCAUCGCAUUAACUAGGUAACUCUGCUCCCCAAUACUUAAGCAAAUGUAAUCCCUAUAUUUUGAAAAAGCUAGCAUGACUACAUCGUCUAACGGAAGAUAGAAGGUCCUUAAGAGAGUGGUUAGCAAAGAUCAGUAUAGAGGAAAUGGAGAUUUGUUUAAUUUAGUUUAAGCUAUUACAACAAGUGGUGUAGCAACAUACAAUGAAAGGUGAUCAGUUGAACGUCUUUCAUAGAAAAUUUAUACCAAAUAUAUGGUAAAAAUUACUUUUUAUACAUGUAUAUUAAAUCUUGACCACUCUUAAUGAAAUUCUCGACUUGACCACUAGUCAACAAGGAUAAACUCGACACAUCAAACAAAAUGAAGGUUUGAUUCUCUGAUAAUAUAUCAACCAAAAUUACAACUAGCCCGAAAGCUAAGACUUAAAGCACAAAAGAACAAGAAUAUGUAUGUGUUGAUAACCAGAGUGAUGCUCCAAAACACAUAAUUUGUUUCUAAACACUACAACAAGUACUGGAAAAUGAUAGGCAAAAGCUCUCUAAACAUAUACUGAGCGAAUUUGGUCUGGAUACUAGGGUACUUUGUUCAACAUAUUAUCAUUAAAUGAGCAGCAGGGGCAAAAAUUAAAGACCAUGGACAAAAAGUAGAAACCACCUCGAAAUAGGGGCAAUCCGUGCAAAAACGUCUACUAACUAUGCUCUGGCAAUUCUAUAUAAGGAAACGACCAGAAAGAUGGUCUUACCUUUAAUUCACUUCUAAGGGAGGAGACAUUAACAAUUCUUGCUGAAGGGGAAUUUUGCAGCAGUGGAAGAAGAGCUUCAGUAACAUUCUUAACACCAUAGUAAUUAGUGUCCAAGCAUAAUUUGGCACUCUCAUAAGUUGUUUUCAUCGCAACUUGAAUGACAUUGACAGCUUUCCCUGCUAACUGUUUGCAACAACAAUCAUAUAGGUAAAUCCCAUUUACAUCAAUAUAAUAAUUCUGAUUAGCGUAAAGCCUGCAGUAGCAAUGUAACCAGAGAAAGUAUACAAAAAAGACGGUUCUUUUUCUAAUAUAUUACUUCAUAUUACUAUAUCAGUUGGUGAUCCCGACUUAGCGGUCCUUUCAUCCAUGAUGAACUUUUGGCACUGGUGCGGAUAUCUUCAAUGUAUUAAAUAAAAAAUUCCAAUGGCUUUGGCUACUCUAACUUUCCCGAUCACGAAUCUUUUCUUUUUUCCUCUUUAAGGAAAUCACUACGAAAUAAGAAAUUGUGUUUUCCUAGGUAUCAAAAAGAGAGGCUAGGGUGGUGUAGCGAUUAGGGAUGAGAUAAGGAGGGAUAGGAUAACCCUCAUGCAAUGACGGAUCCACUCUUGUCCGAGGUUUGUCAUUGACACCCCUUUAUUCGAAAAUUACAUUAUAUAGAUAGGUAAAGAAAAAUAUAAUGCAUAUAAACUAAAUGUUGAAUCCUUCUGAAUCUUUCGUAUGUUCAUUUCUUUAUAGUUCGACUCCCCUUAGUAAAAAUCAUGGCUCCCGACACUGUCCUCAGGUAGGUUUGUUGUAUCUCAUCCUUAUGAGUUACAACAUAAAACAGUUUCUCUAAGACUAGUACAGAGCAAGACCAGAGACCACACAAGGCGACUAUCACUUUCCUCAGAUUGUGGACCAAAAUUUUCAAUUAGCUAGCCCGAAAACAUCCUACUCUUUCCAGACGUCAUUUAUGGAAUUACAGUGAGUAUGUUGUUGCUGUAUUGAAUCAUAUAUCGCUUCAUUACCAUGUGAAAUCCGUAAUAAAACAAGAAGCAAGAAUUGAGCAAAUUAUCUUACCCAGUCUUCAGGAUCUACAUUCAAGGCCCUUAGGACAUCUUCAUCAACUACAACUCCAGAAGCUCCAGCAUUAUUUACCUGCAUAAACUUAUCAUCGACUUCCCUAUAUUUACUUCAAGAUCGCACGAGAAAUUGAUCCAUUCAUGCUCUUACCAGAAUAUCAAGCCUCCCAUAUUGUGUUUGUAUGAACUUCGCUAAGGACUCAAUGCUCCGAGCAUCUUGAACAUCAAGCUGAUGAAACACAACAUUGGAAAAUCCUUGUUCAUUCAGCAAGGAUGUUGCUUCAGUUCCUCUCUUUUCGUCUCUGGCUGUUAAGACAACUGUUACACCUGAAUUGGCGAGCAGCUUAACAGUCUCGAAGCCAAUUCCCUUGUUCGCUCCUGUAACAACUGCAUACCUACAAACAUCUCCCAUCACUUAAAUCCAAAGUUUCUAACUUUUUCCUGCGGAGAGAAGAAAAAAGAACACUUCCUCAAACGAACUAAUGCGAUAACAGAAAGAGGUAGGUAUAGACUAAUAGUCCAAGAGUUGAUAUAACAACCUUAUGAACCAUCAAUCGAAAAAUCAACACAGACGAAACGACGAAUUCUUUUCAUCUACCUAAGCCUUAAUUGACCGGAUUACCGGUAUAAAGUUGAUUAGUUGAGGUGUCUGCAACUACUAACCUGGACACUACUGGUAUUAAACCCAACUCUCACCAUACUACGAGUCAGGGGCAUAGCUAGAGGGGUGCAAAGGGAUUCAUCCAAACCACCCCCUCCCUGAAAAAUUGCAUUGUGUAUUAUACUAUACAAGGCCAAAUUUUAGAUUUUGUUUUCAUGUAUACAUAGUACGUAGUAUUGUUGAAUCCCCUGCUCUUCAUGUUUUAAAAACAACAUAGCCACUGUAGUUCCACAAAGUGCGGGAUAUAAGGAAGGUAGAAUGUAUGUAGACCUUAACCUGACCUCAUAGAUAGAGAGGCUAUUUCUGACAGAUCCUCGACUUAAAGAAAAACAGUCCAAAGCAGUUUCGAGGAAAAAGUAAUGAAAGUACAAGAAACAUUGUGUAUACUAUUACAAGGCCACCCUCACCCUGAAAAAUUGCAAUGUGUAUAGUAUACUAUACAAGGCCAAAUUUUUAAUUUUGUUUUCAUGUAUACAGAGUAGUAUUGUUGAAUCCCCUGCUCUUCGUAUUUUUACAACAACAUACACGUGUAGUUCCACAAAGUGCGGUAUAGGGAAGGUAGAGUGUACACGGACCUUAACCCGACCUCAUAGAUAGAGAAACUAUUUCUGACAGAUCUCGACUCAAGAAAAAACAGUCCAAAGCAGUUUCGAAAAAAAAGUAAUAAAAGUACAAGAAACAACACAGUAACAUAAUAGAAACUACAACAAAACAAUAAGAUAUAUAAAGAAACAACAGAUAGUAAGUAAUUGAAGGACAAGAAACUACAGGAGCAAUACUAUUAUCUUAGUAUAAUCAAAGGUGAGACCUCAACUAAUUCCAAAAGGUAUGUGCUACCUCCCACUGACAAAAGGUACAACUAACUUUGUCUAUCGAGGCUAGAACAGACGGAAAGAAUCACUUGAAUCUAAACAAUCAAGAGUCAAGACCAAAAAAUCAAAAUCAGUUCAUUUUUCUCAAGAUCUAGACAGAAAAAAAUAUUUGACUUACCUGCAAAUGUAGACAAAACAACUCUACAAAUGGGAGUAUAGGGCUAGUGCUAUACAAGUACGUAAUAAAUAAUCAUAUCAUAUUAUAUUAAAAGUGGGAAGGUUUUUAGUUCAAAGCUGAAUUACGAAAAUGCCCUUCACUAAUUUUUAAAAUUAAAAAUGUCUUUUACAAACUUCUUAAAUAAAAUAAAAUAAUGAUAGCUCAACAGUUUUCUAUCUUUUAUUGAGCUUUAAUUAUUUAUCCUUUUAGUUUUUGCCGUUAAACUCAUUCCAACAACACUUAAUGUUUUACACUAAAUUCAAUAUAAUUAAGAUUGAAGAUGAACAAUCACAAUCCCCUUAAAUACAAUCCAAAAACGUUUUUAAUCAUAAUUUUCUUAGUUAUUGUUGAUCAAUGUUUAAAUAAUUUUUUACCACAACCUUUUCCUAUUCUUUACAUUACAAAACUCUAUGAAGGUACACAAUAAGUCUUCUUUCUCCCAUCUUUCCAUCUCUUCAUUCUGCCAGAUUUUUUUUCCAGGUACAUCCAUUGUUGUUAGAUAUGUAUCUGUGGUUUAAGCCUCAUCUUAGUAUGUUUAAUUAGUGGUAUGCUGCUUGAUAUGAAAAAAAAAAUUAUCUUUAAUUCAAAACUAUUUAUACCAACUUCUUAAGUUAAUCUUUUGGUUCAUAUAAUUAAUUUGUACCUUAUAGAAACAAAGAUCAGAAAGAGUUGGUCAAAAAUUAUAUAUGCAUGGACAAUGAGAUAUUAGAAAAACAUUGACCACUGAGAUUAAAUGUUCAUCGAUUUUUUCUUUUUUUUUUCAUUUAAAAAAGAUAGUACUAUAUAUGAAAAAAGAAGAAUGCAAUUCAUAUAAGCUCACAAUAUGAAAAAUAUUCUUAAAUUUGUGAUAAAAACAAUAACCAGAAUUAAAUUUAUUUCUUCCGCAUGUCUUUGCUAAUUUCGUCAAAGGCUUUUACAUAUUUUUCAAGCAGAAAGUCAUCGUAAACUACUUCAACAACUAAGUUGUUGUUUGAUUCAAAAAAAAAAAAAUAGGAAUUCAUCGACAUAUUCAUACCAUUAAAAACUAAAUUGCUAAUUUCCGUAUUUCCUAUUUUAUAAUUGAACUUUAUAAAUAUAAUUUCCUUUAUAAAUAUUCUACAUGUUUAGCAGAGAUAUACAUAAUUUUGGUUCCCUCGGUCUUUGGGGGCUUCGGCUGUUAUUUUUUUUUAUAUGCAUUUAUUUUUUGCACCAUAUAAUUUUUGGUUUAUAUUUGUUUUUUUCUACCAUACUGUUAAAUGUUAAUAUCUCACAAAUGGUUGUGUUGUACUUCAUAAUUCAAUUAUAUGUAUAUAACUUGAAAAUAAUUUCUUUUGUCAAAAUUUACAGAUGACAGAAUUAAUAAUUUUGAAUGAGCCAAAGAAGACGAAGGGUACAUAUAUAUAUAAUUAUUAUUUAUAUAUGUCAAUUAAAUAUUUAAACAAUGAUUAUUUUAUAACAAAUAAAUACUUUUAUUUUGUAGGUGCAAACUAUGAAAUUGAUAAUAAUCUACUAGCCAUCCUAAGGAAGACAUACAUUGAUCGAAUUUCUCUACAACUAUUGCAAAACACCACUCUCCUUCGACGACAAGUUCUCGAUAUGUAUGCAUCUGUAAAAAAGUGGAGGGUACUAUUCCUUAAAAAGAAGGCGGAACCUCUAUGGCAUUAAAUAUUUUGUAACUAUAAUGUUGACAUGUAAAUUAUGUGUGGUAACAUAUUAAAAAAAGAAGUUUUAACAAGUUGAAUACUUUAUAUAUUAUAAGAAUUGUAUAAUUGAAGCUGUUAUAGUAUUAGUUUUCAAAACAAUUCAGUUCAUAACAAUUUUUUUGUAUGAUUUGUCUUGCAAUGAUCAUAAUAUUAGUUGAAUAUGUUGAACCGUUCAUUGAUUCGAGCUUGUAUUUUACACAUCGUACACUUAUAUUUUGGAAGUAUUUAUACUAAUUAGCAUGGUAUACACGUGCAACACACGUGUUCGAAAACUAGUAAAUAAAAUAAGUACAAAUAUAAAAAGUAGUGGACCUUUCACAUUUGUCUUUUUCAUGAUUUAUUAUUCAUUCAAGAAAAACAAAUGUGGAGUGCAGAUUUCGUCGCAUAAGACACAUUUAAUAAUACUUUAUUUAUUCUAAAAUCAUGUAAGUGUCAUAUAAAAUAUCGUUAUAGAAAGAUUUGAUUGUAUCUUACACCUCAAUGGAACUCCACAUGAGGCCAGCCCACUAAAUUAUGGUAUCACUCUGUAAGAACAUUUUAUUAUAGCAAUCAAAAUGUAUGAACAUAUGAUAUUGUUAUAGAAAAAUUAGACUAUGUUUUAAAUAUAUAUAAUAAAAUGAUUAAUUUACAAUAAAUAUAAUUAUAUUUUUAUUUAUAUAAAAAAAAUAGUCAAAAGUUAUAGAAAGUAUAUGUUGAGUCGUUGCCUAUAUUAUGAUACACUCAAAAAACUAAAUAUAACUUACCUAUAUAUACAUAUUUGUUCAUUGACUAUAUAUUAUGAUACACUCAAAAAAUGAAAUAUAGCUUAACUAAACAUGGAGUAUACACUAAUACACGGACUAUUCAAUCCCGACUAACUCAAAAUCACCUCUAACAGUCCCAAAUUUUAGAUAUGAAAUCCUUUUUUGAUAUAUAAUUUGAUAUCUAACUUGAAGUUUGAUAUGAAAUUAAUAAUAUGUAAUUAUUUCAAACUAUAGGAAUAAUCUAGUAAAUAUGGUAUGAACCCAUCUCAACAUGAGCCAGCCCAACAGUCUGCCAAAUUGCUCUCUUAACUUAAAAAAUGGGCUUGUCUUGAAUGAAAGUAGCCCAACCUAUUUUAUAAGAUUGGGCCCAUGUAAAAACUUGGCCCAUUACAAACAUACCAGCAAUAACGUACGAAUAGCCCAUCGAAUAAUAAUACAAGAUAAAUAAUAAUUAUUAAAUUAUAUGGUGCACGUGCAUCUUAAUUUUACUUUUGUUUUUAAAAACAGAAUUGCAAACUCGUCAUAUAAAAUGAAAUAGAUAAAGUGAUAUUAUUGCCAUUCAUAAGGGUAAAAUUCUCAAAUAACUAUUUUUUGGUCCUUGUAACUGAAAAAUAAUCACGAGUGAAAUCUCACACUAUUAUCAUAGAGUUUUACCUAUAAAAUUUAAAAUUUCGUAAUAGUAAAUAUCUUUUAGAAGAUAAACAUUAUUUGUACCUACCAUAAGUCAUUUAACCACUAUAUUUCAAUUUUUCAAAGUUUGUUCUACAAAAUGGAAUAGAAGAAAAUUAACAUUAUCGACUUUCAUAAUGGACAAGACGAUAAAUGAUAGUAUUAUAUUCCAUAGGAUGUUAUCUUAUUAAUAUUAUAGUACACAACUUUUGUUCCAAUUCCCACUAAUCAAAUACAUGUGAUUAACGUUUUAAUUUGAUGUCCUUCACGUUGAUGUUAUUUGGGUUAAUGAUUUAAUUAAAUAAAUAAAAAUAUUGUUUUAAAUGUCAAGAGUAUUUCUUUCAUCUUAAAAUAAUACUGUAUUAGCUUAUUUCAUGUCCAUUAAGAAAAAUAAUAAAUAUAAGGUAUGUAAUUUACUAAGUUACUCUUAUAUUCAGAGCAUUGAGUCCUUAGCAAAGUUCAUACUGUAUUAGCUUAUUUCAUGUCCAUUAAGAAAAAUAAUAAAUAUAAGGUAUGUAAUUUACUAAAAAAAUAUAUGAUAUUUUUUCUAUGUUAUUUUAAUUUUUUAAACAUUUUUACCCUUUUAACAUAAGUACAUUUUAACUAAAAAUGAAAAAAGAUCAAUUUAUUUAAAAUAAAAAAAAUAUUAUAAUUUUUUUAAUUUUCUGGACAAAUUCUGGCCAUUUAGCACUACCCUUAAUUAGUAUUACAAUAAUUAUUCACGUGAUAUAGACCUAGAUAUACAUAACAAAAAAAAAAAAAUUUGUUAAUUAGAGGUUCCAAUAUGAAAAGACUUUCAUUAAUUGUGUUCUUUAUGACUUUUCCAAAUCUUGUUAAAACUUUUUUGGUUAGAAUUCUUAGUCAUCAUUGCUAAGGAUUUACUUCCACAUAUUUAAUAUUUUUGUGUAUUAUUUUUAUUUAUAUUUUCUCGAUCUCAAAAUACUUCUCAUACUUUUUAAACCGGAGUGUUGAUUCUCUUAGAGUGAAUUAAGAAAAAAUGAAGCUUAUCAUCUAAGUGUUGAUUUACUUAUGAACAAGUUUAUUUUAUAUAUAUAUAUAUAUUACUUUUUUGCCAUAUUGAAGAAAACGUACAUACUUUGUCACUUCUAUAUUAUCUCGAUCGAAAAAUAUUUAUUAGAAAAAUAUCAUCCACAGACUUGUCGUCGUAUCACAUAUACAUAGUUGCCUAGGUGAUUGAUAAAGACUUCCGUUAGGUUUUUUAAAAAAAAAUAAAAAAAUUCAUAUAUUGUAAUGUUUAAAUAUGAAAUAUUAUAAUAUAAAUAUUCAAUAUAACAGAUAAGACACGUAAAUUGUAACAAGCGUCCUAUUCAUUUUUUUUCAAGGGAACUAAAAAAUAGGUUUUAUUUUUAUUAUUACUAUUAUUGUAUAAGAGAAUAUUGGAAUAAAUUUUAAAACUUUAUGGUUCACUUGGAGUGAUUAGAAAAAUCAAAUAUGAAAGAAAUUUAUUAGAGAUAUGAAAAGAGGAUUAUUUCUUGUGAUAUUUUAUCUUUUAUAAUGUACUUUUAAUAUUAAUUUAAGUACUAUUUUACUUUAUACUACUUUUAAAAUAAAAUUAUAGAUUAAAAUCUUGAAUCCAAUGAAAUAAUCCAUGGUUGCUGGAAAUUUUUUAUUAUGUAUAAGGCAUGCCAAGUCAUACUUUAUGAGGCAUUAUUAGAUUAACAAAUGGACUGGGACCCAUCUGCCAAGUGACAAAGGGGCAUCUACUGUCACGACCCAAAAAUGGACGUGAUGGCACUCGUCUUAUUGCACCAAGACAAGUUAGCCUAAACUCAACCAUUACAAUAAAAUGCGGAAAUUUUUAUAAUCAACUCAAAAAUACCCCAAAAAUCUGGUUGUCACGUGUACAAGCCUCUAAAAGUAUUACAAUUAAAUCAAAAGAAAAUACAAAUCUACAUAUGACAUUGUUUCUAGAGUAGAACAAGAUCAUAAACAGGGAGUAAGAAGGAUCGCUGAGAAGACAAAACAACUACCUCACAAAUCUCCCAGAAGCCUUGGAAAAGAAGAGAAUGACAAGUACCACAAGAAUCCAGGCUCGUAACCUACAAAAAUUUGUAGGAGCAAGGGGUGAGUACCAAACCACACGGUACUCAGCAAGUAAACCUCUAAACACGAGCUAAGGGGAUAGAAUACAAGUACUCCUUACACCCCAACUGAACCUUCACAACUACAAUAUGUAUAAAACCAGCUCAACCUAACAGUUCACAAUUUACAAGCACAUAUCUCAACAACAACAUUCUAACAAUCAUAUAUUCUCAACAACAAGCUCAAUAUUUAUCAAUUACCACAUCCACAACUACAACAUGCUUAGUACUAGCCCAACAUAACAGUUCACAGUUUACAAAGCACAUAGCUCAACACAACACUCUAACAAUUUCAUAUCCUCAACAACAACAAUAGUUUCAUAUCCUUACCAACAACACUCUAACAAUUGCAUAACUUCAACAAUAAGCCCAAUAUUCAUCAGUCACAAGUUCCAUAAAAAGGCACUCACAAGAUCAACAACACACAAGAUCAAGUUCACCAAUAAUAAAGAAGUGCAAUGCAAUGAAAUGCAAUGUCAAGUAUAGUGAUGCAUGUCUGACCUAAUGAUACACACCCGCUGUCUCUCAGUCCGGGACCCAUGGGGGACAUAUCUGUCCAUGCAUCCAUCGCGGCGCGCGAUACGACCCUCGAUAAUAGUAACCAUCACGGCGCGCGAUACGUCCCUCGAAAUAUAGUAUCCGUCGCGGCGCGCGACACGUCCCUCGAAAUAUAGUAUCCAUCGCGGCGCGCGAUACGUCCCUCGAAAUAUAGUAUCCGUCGCGGCGCGCGACACGUCCCUCGAAAUAUAGUAUCCAUCGCGGCGCGCGAUACGUCCCUCGAAAUAUAGUAUCCGUCGCGGCGCGCGACACGUCCCUCGAAAUAUAGUAUCCAUCGCGGCGCGCACAUCAUUACCCUAAACACAUAUUACAAGGAAAUACAUGAAUUCCAUGCACUUAACAAGGAUUUAGAAAUCCACUUGCCUCAAAUAGUAGAACAAUCACUUCGGGAUUUAAGCCUUCCCUUUUCGUUGAACUUCCAACUCAAAGCAAUCUAUUCAAAUAUAUAAUCACAAUAAGAUUUCAAAACUAAUCAACACCCAUAUUACUAUAGGUUUAGCCUAGACCCGAAAACUCACUCAAAUCUAUAAUCAAGUUCUUAAGUUUUAAGCCUAGGAUUAUGUCUCAAUUUUCCAAUAUCAACUCUAAUAGUUUUCGUAUGAUACACCUAAUAAUUGAUUUCAUAUCUCAAUAUAUCAAAGCUUGAAUCAUAAUGUGAUAACAAUAAGAAAGAUCUUUAAUCAAAGUUCAAUACAUAAUCGGUGACCUUAACAAAUCAUUACUUUUCAAAUGAUAACACAGAACCAGUAUUGUUCAAAUCUCCCAAGAAAUAUGCAGAGCACUAACUAAUUCCUUCAGAACAUUAUUUUCCAAUGAUUACCUCACCACUACUCAUCAUUAACCCUCCAAAUAUACAUCACCAACUUGUCCCCACUUAAUUUGAACGAAACUUGAACUUACCGUAUUCUAAAAAUUUAGUACUUCUAAACACUAUAAUAUUGGGAAAGUUGUGAACAAGGUAAAUCACAGUAUAUAAAUUUUACCUGAUUCUUUUGGAGCGUAGUACUCACUUUAUUGGAAAAUUCUAAACUUUGCAGAAGACAUGUAUACAUAUAUUUUCCCUUCCAAUUAUUUCCAACAACCCAAUAUAAUGAUUAUUUUAUCCACACAGCAUAUCAUUAAUGUUUCAUGAUAAAACUUCAUCAAAAUUUGUGCACGGUGCAACAGAUAUAUUCCACUUACCAUUCUUUUUUUAUCGAAAUUUCAUCUAUGUCUAUAAAGAAUCCAUUGAAUACAAAUUACAAUAAGUUAUUCACAUCCAACAAUCACAUAUACAUAAACAAAGCUUGAAGUUUGAUUGGAAUUACCCGUAUUCGUCAGUUUCUUGUUGAAGCCGCAAAAGGUGAGUCUCCCUCUAGGGUUAGAUCUGUUUUUUUCUUUAAAGAAUUAUUAACUAUGUAUUAAAAGUGAAAAACAAUUCACUAACUUAAUUUAAUUAUAUGGAACAAAUGGUAUAGGGUCUUAAAUAAAUUAUCACUUUAGCCCAUUAACUAUCGCUUAAGUCAAUUAUCCACAAUUGCCCCUCAACUAAUUAACUAAAGUAAACAAAUAGUUCGAAAUUCCCAAAAAUGACCUUUCGGGUCAUUACAUCUACUAAGUCCUUUCCGCCAUUUUUUUUUCAUUUAUUUCAAUAUAUUUUUUGUUUUCAUUUUUUAAAUAUUCUUUUUCUUAACUAAUCUAAUUAGUUUAUGUUUUUUCUUUUUUAAUUUUUUUUUUCACUUAUUUCAAUAUAUUUUUUGUUACAGUACCAUUUUUUCAAAUGUUUUUUUUCUUAAUUAAUCUAAUUAGUUUAUGUUUUUUUCUUUUUUAUUUUUAUUUUACACUUAUUUCAAUAUAUUUUUUGUUUUCAUUUUUUAAAUGUUUUUUUCCUUAACUAAUCUAAUUAGUUUAUGUUUUUUUCUUUUUUAUUUUUAUUUUACACUUAUUUCAAUAUAUUUUUUGUUUUUACUUUUUUAGAUGAUUUUUUCUUAACUAAUCUAAUUAGUUUUUUUUUUUCUUUUUCGUUUUAACUUAUUACAAUAUAUUUUUUGUUUCCAUUUUUUUAAAUGUUUUUUCAUUCUUAACUAAUCUAAUUAGUUUGUGUUUUUUCUUUUUUAUGUAGUGAAUUUUGAUUUAAUUUUUUAUGAUCAUUGUAUAUAUGUUUUUAUAUUACUAUAUUAAUUUUUUUUUCUUAUUCUAUGUUAUUUAUUCAUAAAAAAAAAUCUUAUUCUAUGUUAUUUAUUCAUAUUUUAAUAAAUAGUUAUUUAUAUUUAAUUUUUCGUUUAUAAAAUCAAAAUAUAAGUAAUUUCUUUAAUUCUAACAAUUAUUUUCUAUCAAAAGUAUAAAUAAAAUUUGUAAAGUCGCAAAAAGUCUUUUAAGGAAUAAAUUAAUAAAAUUAUCAUUUUUAUUUAUAAUUUUCUAAUAAUCGUGUAAGGAAAGUAGAUAAAUAAAAUAUUUAUUAAAUUUCACCUAGCUUGAAUUUCAGAAAUAAAAAAUAUCAUAUAAAUUGAUGGAAAGAUUAAGUAUUUAUGUAGGUGUUUAUGGAUAUUUUUCAUGAAUAAAAUUAUUAAAGUAUGAAAGUGCAAAAUUUGAAACAAUGGUUGAAAAAGAAAUUAAAAAAAAAAAAGUAAGAGAGAGGGAAAAAUCAUAAAGGAUGAGAGAGAAAAAAGAGUUUGGGCCAUUUAUUGAAAUGAGACCCAAUUAUCCUUAAAAAAUAAAUGGAGCCUCAUACAAGUUUUGUCUACCACAUCGUAGUUAUGCCUCAUUCAUAAUAAAAAUUUUCGAAUAAAAUUCUUUCACACUAAUCAGAGAUAUCAGAUACGAGUUUAGAAUAACUUUUUUUAAAAAAAUAUUGACAAAUUCUCUUUAAAGAACUUUAUGCAUGAUAUGAAUUUAAAUAAGUUAAUGCUUCAAUUAAGUAUCAAUUAUCGAAUAAAAAACCAGUAUACAAAAUAAAAUGUGUGUUUCCACUUUCUAAUGUGUGAAAAUGAUAAAAGCGUUUCAAUUGACAUAUGCUUUCAAGAUUCACAUUUCCUAUCUGCUUCACUUGUCAAUUUGUGUCAUCAAUCACAUUAAAAUUUGUUUCUUACUCUUUAUCUUCUUCUUUUUUUCAUUUGGCAUAUGCUUUGAAGAAAAAAAAAAAUGAAAAAAAUCAAAGGAGCAGGUAGAGUAGAAGGUUCUAUUUAGAUAAAAUUAAAUAACGAUGACUUAAAUUCUGUAUUUAUAUUAAAAGAAUACAUACAUAUAUAGAAUCGGUAUUCCCUAGCUAACUCAUCACUAAUAGAACCUAGCUAAUUGGAUUUUCACAUAAUUUAUUGUUAAUUCAUAAUUAAAUAAAAUUAAUAAAAAAAUAAAAUUUUGUUUGGCGCUAAUUUUUUAUUUUCUCAUAGUGAAAUAAAUUUACAUUUCCGAACUAAUAAAAAAUUAACAAAUACGUGGACACUUCUUUAUCAUGAUGUUCCCCUAAAUAAGCAAAUCUAGCAAUUAGAUCUUCUGUACAUACUUUUUUGUCCCUAAUUACUUAUCCACUUUUUUUUUAUAAUUGUUCUUAAUUACUUGUCCAUUUUGAUAAAUCAAGAAAGGAUAAAAAAAAAUUACCUAUUAUACCCUCAAUUAAAUGACUAAUUACUUUGAAAAAUGCAGAACUUUUCAUCCACUUCAUAAUUAAUAGGGAUAAAAUGAUAAACUCACUAUGUUGUUAAUUGUUUUUUUAAUAGGUGUGUUAAUUCAAAAGUGGACAAGUAAUUAGGGACAUAGACUUUAUUUUAAUUAAUGGACUAAAGAGAAUAAAUGAUUAAAAAAAGAGUUGGUGAAAUAAAGCCACCUUAUAAGUAUCGUGCGACCAAAUGUGUGUUACGUAGAUAAAUUAAUUAUACAAAAUAUAUUAUAUUUUAUAAUUACGUACACAAGUAUAUAAAAGUGAACGUAAAAAGUAUCUUAAAGUACGUGUUUAAUAUAUCAAAAUACUAUUUGAAAAUUGCAGUGUUUAACAUAUGUGCUAUUAAAAUUAAGAAAAUGCAUAUAUUAAAUAUAAAAAGUUUUGUUUUAUUUUUAAAAAAAAUUAAAUAUAAGAUACGUUAGUUUAUUUCGUUUUUGUAUAACUUCACGGGAAUUAAAAUUGUUCUUCUAGAGCUCUUUAAAAUUUUAUGAUCUUCUCGGAGUGAAUUUCUUUAUUUAAAAAAAAAUAUGAAAUUUAAUACUUUAUACCAUGUCUCCACUUAGUUUUGAUAAGAUGGAUAUGAUCUCUUUAUUCUUAAUUAAGAUUUUAAGUUCAAAUUCAGGAGAUUUAACAAAAAUCAUCAAGGAACACUUUCUUUCAAUUUUUUGUAAUAUCAAUUUAAAUUAAUUGAGACUAUAAUAAGAAUAUUGAACACCGAAUAAUCAUUGACAAUAUAUUUUGAAGAAUCACAUUUUUUAUCAGUAAAAAAAUAAUUGGUCAUCAUCUGAUUAGUAAAAUUUUCCUUCUUACUCUAUCUUUUUUCAUUGGUAUAUGCAUGAAGGUAAAAAAACAAUCAAAAAUAAUUAGUCAAAGGCGUAAGUAAAGUAGAAGGUAAGAGUUCAAUAAAACUUGCGUACUAGUAAUAGUCUAAAUUUUUUGUCCAAACUUUUAUUAUAUAUAUAUAUAUAUAUAUAUAUAUUUUUUUUUUUUAUUUUUUUUUUAUUAUUAUUAUUAUUAUUANNNNNNNNNNNNNNNNNNNNNNNNNNNNNNNNNNNNNNNNNNNNNNNNNNNNNNNNNNNNNNNNNNNNNNNNNNNNNNNNNNNNNNNNNNNNNNNNNNNNNNNNNNNNNNNNNNNNNNNNNNNNNNNNNNNNNNNNNNNNNNNNNNNNNNNNNNNNNNNNNNNNNNNNNNNNNNNNNNNNNNNNNNNNNNNNNNNNNNNNNNNNNNNNNNNNNNNNNNNNNNNNNNNNNNNNNNNNUUGUUUGGCGCUAAUUUUUUAUUUUCUCAUAGUGAAAUAAAUUUACAUUUCCGAACUAAUAAAAAAUUAACAAAUACGUGGACACUUCUUUAUCAUGAUGUUCCCCUAAAUAAGCAAAUCUAGCAAUUAGAUCUUCUGUACAUACUUUUUUGUCCCUAAUUACUUAUCCACUUUUUUUUUAUAAUUGUUCUUAAUUACUUGUCCAUUUUGAUAAAUCAAGAAAGGAUAAAAAAAAAUUACCUAUUAUACCCUCAAUUAAAUGACUAAUUACUUUGAAAAAUGCAGAACUUUUCAUCCACUUCAUAAUUAAUAGGGAUAAAAUGAUAAACUCACUAUGUUGUUAAUUGUUUUUUUAAUAGGUGUGUUAAUUCAAAAGUGGACAAGUAAUUAGGGACAUAGACUUUAUUUUAAUUAAUGGACUAAAGAGAAUAAAUGAUUAAAAAAAGAGUUGGUGAAAUAAAGCCACCUUAUAAGUAUCGUGCGACCAAAUGUGUGUUACGUAGAUAAAUUAAUUAUACAAAAUAUAUUAUAUUUUAUAAUUACGUACACAAGUAUAUAAAAGUGAACGUAAAAAGUAUCUUAAAGGUGUUUAAUAUAUCAAAAUACUAUUUGAAAAUUGUAGUGUUUAACAUAUGUGCUAUUAAAAUUAAGAAAAUGCAUAUAUUAAAUAUAAAAAGUUUUUUUUUUUUUUAAAUAAAAUAUAAGAUACGUUAAUUUCGUUUUUGUAUAACUUCACGGGAAUUAAAAUUGUUCUUCUAGAGCUCUUUAAAAUUUUAUGAUCUUCUCGGAGUGAAUUUCUUUAUUUAAAAAAAAAUAUGAAAUUUAAUACUUUAUACCAUGUCUCCACUUAGUUUUGAUAAGAUGGAUAUGAUCUCUUUAUUCUUAAUUAAGAUUUUAAGUUCAAAUUCAGGAGAUUUAACAAAAAUCAUCAAGGAACACUUUCUUUCAAUUUUUUGUAAUAUCAAUUUAAAUUAAUUGAGACUAUAAUAAGAAUAUUGAACACCGAAUAAUCAUUGACAAUAUAUUUUGAAGAAUCACAUUUUUUAUCAGUAAAAAAAUAAUUGGUCAUCAUCUGAUUAGUAAAAUUUUCCUUCUUACUCUAUCUUUUUUCAUUGGUAUAUGCAUGAAGGUAAAAAAACAAUCAAAAAUAAUUAGUCAAAGGCGUAAGUAAAGUAGAAGGUAAGAGUUCAAUAAAACUUGCGUACUAGUAAUAGUCUAAAUUUUUUGUCCAAACUUUUAUUAUAUAUAUAUAUAUAUAUAUAUAUAUUUUUUUUUUUUAUUUUUUUUUUAUUAUUAUUAUUUUAUUUUUUUAAUUUCAAUUUAUGUGAAGAAAUUCGAAAUAUAAAAAUCAAAAUUGCGCAUGGGAUAAAUAAUUUAAUUAGGAACCACUGUCGAUUAAUAAUGUCAAUUACGAUUCAUUUCAAUAUCGUGCUUCUGUUAUUUAUAUAUAAAAUAAGUUUAAAAUGACUAAAAAUAAGAUAAAAAUUAAAAGAGAUCUCCCUUUACUUUUAUUUUUUAAUUUAAAAAUUAUUUAAGUUUAACUUUUUAUUUUUGACUUAAAAGUUAGUAUUUUUUAAAAUUAAUUCAACGGACUGUAAAUUUUCUAAAGUAGAUGUGGAAAAUUGAGUCUGUUCUUUUAAUGAUUAAAGGACAAAAAAUUGACUGAUAAUAUAUAAUAUUCCCAAUCAAAUCAUAAUUAAAGUGAUUGAAGCUUUACUUGGGCCCAUUUGAUUUAUUACUUAGUGGUAAAAUUUAGAUUUCUAAUGGUGAUUUUUUUUCAUUAUGAUUAUAUAAGUAUAUUAUAUAAAAAAGAAAAGUUUUUCUAAAAAAAUAAUUAAAUAAAAGUUUGAUAGGUUAGGGGCUAUGCAUUAGUCUAACUUCUAAGUACAAACAAACCAAAAUGUGUUAAAUUAAUAAUAAGUGGAUCAAUAUAUGCUAAAUUUGGACGAAUUGGAUUAGUCAAAUCUUCACGAGCUAAUUUUAUCACCUUUAAAAAUUAUUUGGUUCGGAGAAAAUUUUACAAAGAUUAGUUAUGCAUUAAUCAUAUAAUGUUGAAUGUUUGUAUUACAUAUUAAUAGUAUACUUCAAAAUAUUUGUUUUAUGUUUAAAUAAUUAUUAUUAUUAUACUAUUAUAAGGAAUUUUAGCAUUGCAAUUCAUCUAUAAUUUAAUAUCUUCAUUUUUAUUCUAGUUUUCCUCCAUAUAAAAUAAUAUAUAUAGAUUAUCGCAUGAUUAAUUUAAGUAUUAUAUAAGAUCUUUGAUUAAAAAUACAAUAGUACUUUCCACUCUAUCAGAUAAUCACAAUUUCUUUCAUUAUUUUCUUUUUAAGCAAGAUUUAAUAACUGAUUUUAUAUUACUAAUUAAUAUACAAUCUAGCUAAAACAUCUUAAAGAGAGUAGGUAAAAGAAAUCUACCAUUUGAAUCCUUUCACAACUUCUCUGAGUGGUUGAUACAAUUCGUCAAUAACGUAUCGUAUUAUAUUGUAUUUUAUUAUAAUAUAAUAUAAAAAGACUAUACAAUAUAAUCCUAUCAAAUCAAUUAUUAUAUAAAUUGAAAAUCGUUAAUGCAACAUAUAUAUUAUAUUAUAUUUUGUUAUAAUAUAAUAAUGAAUAAAGAUUGCAACAUAAUCGUACCAAAUUAAUUGUUAUAUAAAUUGAAAAUCGUUUUAAAUGUCAAUCUAUUAUAAUUAUAAAAACAAUUAAAUUGAAUUACAUUUAAAGUAAUAAUAUAAUAAUAUUAGUGGGUGGAAUUAAGAAAAGUCAUUGUUCAAUCCUUUCACAACAAGUAAUUUUAAUCAUUCAACCACGUGAAUUGUGAAAACUUGGAAUAUUUUUGGCAUUUUAGUACAACAAGUAAUACUUCUUCCGUCUCAUUUUAUGUGACACUUUUCAGAUUUUUAGAUUUAAAUAAGUCUAAUUUUGACCAUAAGUUUUUCAUAGAUCUUUUUAAUAUUUUGAAUCAUUAAUUAUUGUGACUUAUAAUAUUUUUUACUUACAAAUAUAUAAAUUUCAUUUUAAAAAGUUAAAACAUUCCAUACACAAAUUUGCAGUUAAUGUUAAACUAUUUGCUCUCAAAAAAUAAAAAGAAUCACAUGCUUAGACAGAGGGAGAAUACUAAAAUUUACUAAUUAACAAACCCCACUGGCAAAAGUUUGCUUUUUGCCAAUUUUAAAUGAAUUCUUUUUCUAGGAAAUAAAGGUAUCACGUUUUUUCAUAAUACUAUAGGAGUGUAAUAGGUAAAUAUCACGUCAUUAAUAAAAUUAUAAAUAAUAAAUGUUAUAUUUAUCUGAAUAAUAAGAAUUUUCUGACCAAAAAAAAAAAGAAUUUCAUAUAAGAAGGUUGAGAAGUUAUUUUAAAAAAUAUAAACCUUCUUAAAAUAUAUUCUAAAUUAUUUUAUUUACUUAUUUUUGUUUAUCAUAAUAUAAAUAAUUUUAGUAUAGCAAGUUUUUAGUUAAUUUUAAAGUUCUAAAGAUUUAGUAGCUAUAAUUUUGAAAUUAUAAACACUAAAAAUAUAAUUAAAUAAAAAUUACUUGAGAAUAAUAAUAGAUUGAAUACGACGAAUAAAGUAUGAUAUAUUAAAGAUAUAUAUAUAUAUAUAUAUUUGUUCGCCUCGUAGGUACCACUAAAUAGCAAAGGAAUUUUGAACAUUCAAUCACGUGGUUUCUGAAAUCCUCAAAAAUUGGCAUGUUAUACCGUCUUCGUUCUAUAUUAGUUGUUCAUUUUUAUUCUUAUACGUUUUUUUAAAAAUAUAAAUAAAAAGGGUAAUUUAUCAAUGAACUUUCUCGGUUCAUUUUUAAUUAUCACGAUGAAAUUUGAUAUAUUUAUUAAGAAAAUAAUAUUUAACAUAAGUCAUAACUAUUUUAUCACAUUAUUUCUGUUAAUUAAUUUAAGUAUUAAGUUUUGAAAAAUGAUUUAAAGAGGGAUUAAUUAAAAUAAUUAUCUUUUUAUAAUAUAUUAAAAGUGACAAUUGACAAGUAAAUGUGAAAAAUCUGAUAUAGUAAAUAAAUAAAAAAUAAUAAGGAAAAGAAUUUAAGAGAAUAAUUUUCAACGAUGUGGACAAUUAAUAUAAUACGGAGGAAGUAUUAUUAGUACAAGUACAAACUGGCCAAACUUCCUAUUGUCGAGAAUUUUAAAUGCAAUCUUUUUGAGAAAAUUAAAAACUAAUGGAGGCCCCCAAUAAAGGAACAUUUCUUUUCUUAUAUAAACAAGCCAACUAGUGCCUAGAAUUUACAUCACAAAAAAAAAUACAGCUCUCUAGAGAAGAAAAUACAUACACAAAAAAAGAAAAAACUUAGUAGCCAUGAAUGUGAAAAUUGAGAGUUCAAAAAUCAUCAAGCCUUUGUAUGAAGGAAUUCCACCUUCAACUACAGCACAUAUUCCUUUCAAUGUAUUUGACAAUGUAACAUUUGAUACUCUAAUGGCUUUGAUUUAUGCCUAUAGACCACCCACCCCUCCCACAUCCACUAUCGAAACGGGACUUCGAAAGACAUUAUCGAUUUAUCGAGAGUGGGCUGGGCGAAUAGGUGAAGAUGAACACGGUAAUCGAGGAGUUUUUCUCAAUGAUGAGGGUGUUCGAUUCAUCGAGGCGUCUGUAGACGCCUCGUUGGACGAAGUAUUACCCUUAAAGCCUUCGCCCUCUAUGCUCUCCUUACAUCCUAGUUUAAAGGAUGUAGUGGAGUUAAUCCAAGUCCAAGUCACACGUUUCACGUGUGGCUCUGUAGUGGUCGGUUUCACCGGCCACCACAUGAUAGCUGACGGCCACGCUGCAAGCAACUUUUUUGUAGAAUGGGGUCAAGCAUGCCAAGGGAUGGAAAUUGCACCCCUCCCGAUGAACGAUCGUGCUAUUUUCCUCCCUCGGGAUCCACCCCUCAUCGAGUACAACCAUGUUGGGGCUGAAUUUGUGUCCAAAUUAGUAAACAAAGAGUUAGUAAAAGUCAACAACGAUGAAAUUAAUGAGAAAAAAAACAUCAUAGUCCACAAAGUCCAUUUCACCUUGGAGUUCCUAGGGAAACUCAAGGCGCAUGCCUCUUUUAUGAAUGGAAAGGCUAAAACUUAUAGCACGUUCGAAAGUCUAAUAGCCCAUUUAUGGAGGGCUAUUACAAAAUCACGUGACUUAAACGCAUCACAAAAUACUCAAAUUCGAAUAUCGGUUGAUGGAAGGAGAAGAGUUAUACCUAGAGUUCCGGAUGAAUUUUUUGGUAAUAUAGUCUUAUGGGCAUUUCCAACAUCAAAAGUGAAGGACUUACUAGAUGAGCCACUUCACUAUGCAACAAAGAUUAUUCAUGAUGCAAUUACUAAAGUUGAUGAUAAAUAUUUCAAGUCAUUUAUUGAUUUUGCAAAUGAUGAGAAAGUGAUGACUAGACAAGAUUUAAUACCAAGUGCAAACAUGAAGGAGGACUCACUUAGUCCAAAUUUGGAAGUUGAUAGUUGGUUGAGGUUUCCAUUUUAUGACUUGGAUUUUGGUACUGGUUGUCCAUUUGUGUUUAUGCCUUCUUAUUAUCCAAUAGAAGGAAUGAUGUUUCUUGUGCCAUCAUUUAUUGGAGAUGGAAGCAUUGAUGCUUUUAUUCCUUUAUAUGAACACAAUUUAACAAAUUUCAAGAAUAUUUGUUACUCUCUAAAUUUGAAAGCAAAAUGAGAAGACCAACUUAUGGAGUUGGUGGGGUGGGAGUGGGGGUGGGGGUGUUUUUGGUAUAUUUUGUUGUUUUUAGCAAAUGGACACUUUUGGUUAUUAUUUUUUCCUAGUGAUUUUAUUGAUUGUCAUGUUGAUGAUCUAUGUGUUUUGGAGAAGAAGUUUAAGUUGGCAUUUUUUGUGAUUUUAUUUAUAUAUUAUAGUCUAUUUCCAAGGUUAUUUCCUUCUUUUUUUGUUAGUAUAUAUAUUUUGGUCUUGUGUUCGAUGUCUGAUAUUUGUUUGUUGAUAUCGAUUAAUUUUGAUUUGCUUUGCAUGAGGUGAGAUUGGAGCUAGCAUAAAAGAUACGAGUCAAUCUUGUAAUCUUUAUUAAAAACUUUUACUAAAAAAAAUACAUACAAUAUACUUAGAAACUUUUUAUGAAAGAUAUAAAAGAUUUUAUCUUGUCUCACCUAAAAGGUGGUAGGCUAUUUCCUUCUUUGACAAAACUUUUGAUGUUUGGUUUCAUAUGGUGAAAAAUUGGAAUUUGAUCUACACACAUCAAUAAAAUAAAUUGUUGACUUAUAGCUCAAGAAAUGUACAUUUGUACAGAGAUAAAAGGGUCCAAGAAAUGCAAUCUCACUUUCUCAAUCAGGUAGCUAACACCUUGAUAAGAGUUAAUCAAGCUUCAUUAUUACAUUAGUUUAUUUUUUCAUAUUCGAAGAUCCAGAAUAUUACAUCAGUUUUUUUGGUUUUGAUAUGCAGAGAACUUUGAGAAUUAUGAAGUUUCCUUCAAAUUAUGUCCAUCACUCAACCUCGAGUACUGACGCCUCAAAGCUAUCGGAAAGUCAAGAAAGUAUUUCCUGUUACGGAUGAAGUCAAGGUUAGAUAACAAAAUAAUGAUUUACUCGUGUUUUAGUUAACAAGAUGCUUAUUUUUUAGUAAUGUUUGUUUUACUAGGUCUUUGGCACCUCACUUCGUUUCUACGUCUACACAUCAGUGAUUGCCCUAAUCUCUAAUCACUUUCCGAAUCAGUACUGCCCUCCGCCCUCUCUGCACUAUGCUAGAGGUUUAACAAUUUAGAAGCCUUCAAUUCUUUAUUAAUCAAGAUGAACUGGCAGCUUGGCUCCCUUCACAGUGUUUUGUUCUUAAAAGAAUUGUGUGUGAGCCAUGGUUGAUGUAUUGAAUUUGAAACUUCUUCACUAGGUCCUAAGUUUAGGAAAUCACUUUUUGUAGUCUGAUAAAACCAUGAUAUUUCAUUACUUGUCUAGAGGAAUCAUUCAUGUGCAGCACUAUAUAUAUAGAGACGUGUGCUGGCCGGUCUGUAAUUGUAAUACACGGAUUGUCUAAGAAUUCUAACAUGUCUUUUUAAUUGCUUUCAGUAAGGAGGUUGUGAUUUCCAAGUCGUACAGCCAUCUACUUUGGCUAUUUUGAGAUGAAGCAUGACUUGCUGCAAAUGGAAUAUCCAGCUCUAAUGAAACUCAAAGGUACAUGAUCGAAAAAAGUUGUUUAAUGUAACACACAAGAGACAUGUUGUACAUUAUGGUCAUAGAUUAUAAGGAAAUGUAUUACUUUUUCAUUGUUAGGAUUUUGACGAGGCUCAACAAUUAUUUGGGAAGUGAAAAGUUUUGAAGGUCUCUCUGCUCAAGUCGAGAAGGGAAAGUUGUUGAAUCGUUAAGUGGUAUUUAUUCUCAUGUUGGAUUGAGCAUCAUGACUAUGGAUGUAAUAGCUUGUAUGGUUCACUUUGGACUAGGCAUGCACAACUUUAAAAUGUGUCACAAGGGUCAAAUCCCUUUGGUUUUUUCAUAUGUUUUCUUCUUUAUAUUUUGACUCCCCUCUAGAAAAAUUCUGGCUCCGCCAUUAUCCUCGUGUAGGUUUUGUUCUAUCUAGUCCUUAUGGCUUACAACAUUAAAACAAUCCCUCUAAAACUAAUUCAGAGCAAGAUCAGACCACACAUGGGGACUAUCACCUAUCGAGUACCAAAACAUUUAAAAAUGCAUACCAAAUGCCAUAACACCAUAGUAAUUAGUGUUCAAGCAUAAUUUGGCACUCUCGUACGUUGUUUUCAUCACAACUCGAAUGUCAUCAAAAGCUUUCCCUGGUAACUGUUUAUAAUAACACACAAUUACUCCUCAGUCUCAAACAAGUUAGGGUUGGCCAUAUAAACAAACACUCACAAACUUGGCAUCAAUUGACAAGUAAGCACUUCAACUCAUCCCACUAUGUCUUGUGGACACUAUGCUGAUGUGUCACAUAAAUUUUGGAGGUGUCUAGAUGUGCAUACUCAAAGUUGGAGUGUUUACUUGCCGGUUGAGGCCAAGUUUUAGUUGUCUGUCAGAGCAAGAUCAGACCACACACGGGAACUAUCGCCUACCUCAAAGCUUAGAUAUGAGAUCGAAUCACAUAAAAAAAACAAGACCUAAGCAUGUAGCAAAUUAUCUUACCCAGUCUACAAGAUCUAUGUUCAUGGCCCUUAGGACAUCUUCAUCAGGUACCAUUCCAGAAGCUCCAGCAUUAUUUACCUGCAGAAAUUUAUUCAGAAACUGUCCAAUAUUUACCUCGAGAUCGAAUGAAGAGCAAUACAUAGAUUCAUGCUCUUACCAGAAUAUCAGGCCUCCCAUACUGUGUUUGUAUGAACUUUGCUAAGGACUCAAUGCUCUGAGCAUCUUGAACAUCAAGCUGAUGAAAGACAACAUUUGAAAAUCCUUGUUCAUUCAGCAAGGAUGUUGCUUCAGCUCCUCUCUUUUUGUCUCUGGCUGUUAAGACAACCGUUACACCUGAAUUUGCGAGCUGCUUAACAGUUUGGAAGCCAAUUCCCUUGUUUGCUCCUGUAACCACUGCAUACUUACAAGCAUCUCCCAUCACUUAAGUCCAAUUUUUCUAACCUGUAAUCCUUUUGAAUCCUGUUGGGAGAAGAAGAAAAAAGAACACUAUUUCAAACGAACUAACGCGAUAGGAAGAAAGAGGUAUGUAGAGACUAAUAGUCCAACUGUUGAAAUAACAACCUCGGGGAUGUAGUUCCGAAAAAGAGAAAUAAUGGAAGUACAAGAAACAACAGAUAAUAACAAAAACAACAUAUAGUUAUAACAUAACAUAAACUACAACAAAAUAAUACAAUAAUCGAGCUAGGUACAAGAAACAAUAGAUAGUAACAAGGUGAGACCUCAACUAAUUCCAACAUGUAUGUGCUACCUCAUACUAACAUAGAUAUCAACUAACUCUGUUUACUGAGGCUUGAACAGAUGGAAAGGAUCACUUGAUCUAAACAUUGUUAAGCAGCAACAUCAAAGUAAACAAUCAAGACCAAAAAUCAAAAUCCCAUUUCAAAGAUAAAAUAUAUUGACUUACCUGUAAAUGGAGAGUAUAGGGCUAAUACUAGUGCUACAAGUAAAAAAAAAUCAACAAUCUACUAUUUAAUAAGUAAAAAUUUGGUAAAAAAAAUAUGUUUUCAUGGGUAUUAUUGUCUAACACUUUAAACUACCUUUUUUUAUGGUAGGCAAACCCAUGUGAUCCUCUAACUGGUAACUCCUUUAUAUAGUAUCAUUAUUCAUUUCAGUUUGCCAUAAGAGUAACAUUUACACUCAAUGUGAUGUUUGAAUGCAUUUCUAUGGCAAUGUUGUCAUUUUUACUGGCAUUAUUAAAUUGUUAUGAAUUACUGGCAUUUGCUAUUAUGAUGGUAAUUUCUCCGUCCGUUCACUUUUACUUAUCACAUUUGGAUUUGAUACACCCAUUAACACCUUGUUUGAAUGGUUGGUACCUGUUGUAUUGUAUUGAUAGUUUAGAUAUAACAUUUGUUUUGAUUGUUACUUAAAUUUUAUUGUAUCAUAUCAUUUAAAUCCAUCAUUAGGUAAUGACGAACGAUAUGGUGUGAUCUCAUCGUUACCUUAAUAUUUUCUUCUUAUUUUAUCCUUUAACUACCUAUCUUUUAAUAGUAGCUUUAUUCCGUAUCCUACUUUUUCUUCUAGAUUUAUCAUUCAAAUUGUUGAUGUGAUAGAGAACAAUACAAUCUAUCCAAAUAUUGUACUCAUUAAAACAUUACAAUAUGAUAUAAUACAACACAUUACUUGAUUAUUUUAUCCUUUGCUUCCCUCAUUGUUUCAAUUACUAAUUCAACCAGUAGAACACCAAGCUCAGAAAUUCAACCAAAUGCCAAGAGACAACUGAAAGAAAUAGUCUUAUUUCACGACUUGAUCUAAAACAUUGCAACUGACCCCAACUUGUUUGGGACUGAGGCGUAGUUAUUGUUGUAUCUAAAACUCGUCGACUACUGUACGAUCAAAGUAGCAACCAGUAGGUCCUCCAUCAGGCAAAAGAGCUAGCAUGACAGAUCCUUCAGCUCCUUCUUCGACAGGCAUUGUUCCUGUAUGCCAGUUUAUAUCCG
rnacentral:lncRNA from 1 species